AAGAAGGUAGCUCAGUGGUAGAGUCCUUGCCUAGCAUGCACGAGGUUCUGGGUUCAAUUCCUUUUGCCUGCUCUCUUG
rnacentral:tRNA from 1 species